AGCUCAGUUGGUAGAGCAGAUGACUCUUAAUCAUCGGGUCCCAGGUUCGAGCCCUCACCA
rnacentral:tRNA from 1 species